AGUGAACGCUGGCGGUAGGCCUAACACAUGCAAGUCGAACGGCAGCACAGUAAGAGCUUGCUCUUACGGGUGGCGAGUGGCGGACGGGUGAGGAAUACAUCGGAAUCUACUUUUUCGUGGGGGAUAACGUAGGGAAACUUACGCUAAUACCGCAUACGACCUACGGGUGAAAGCAGGGGAUCUUCGGACCUUGCGCGAUUGAAUGAGCCGAUGUCGGAUUAGCUGGUUGGCGGGGUAAAGGCCCACCAAGGCGACGAUCCGUAGCUGGUCUGAGGGGAGGGUCCCCCCCUGUGAAGCUGAGAGGCGACCCAGGGUCUGAGGGAAGGCACAGGUGGGGAAUGUUGGCAAAAGGGGGGAAGCUUGUCCCAGCGACGCGAGGUGGAUGAAGAAGCCCUUCGGGUGGUAAGACCGUUUGUUGGGAAAGAAAAGCAGCAGGUUAAUACCCCACUGUUCUGACGGUACCCAAAGAAUAAGCACCGGCUAACUUCGUG
rnacentral:rRNA from 1 species